CAAAUGAUUAAAAACAUAAUUAUCUCAGUAAAUGGCUGGAUGAAAAAGAAUACUAAAACUAAAAAAGAAAGUGAAAGAUGCUGUAAAAGGAAGUUGAAGCAACAUGCUCACAUGCCCAUGUUAUAUGUGGCCAUGUUCCUGCAAGAGUCCCUUUCAAGGAAGUCCUGCCAGACACACAAACAGACUACUAUUUGUGAUUUGAAAUUCUUCUGUAUGCUGCAAAAGACAAUCAGUAAAAAGACAGAUAUAAAACUAGAAAUAAUGCCAGAGAGUGAAAGACCAAAAUGCACCUCCGAACCUCGAACAACAAUAUUAGGGUGUAUCCUGGUGAUUUCCUGCAUCCUGUUCAUUGCUCAAGUGAUAGCUGCUUUAGCAACUGAUGAAUGCAAAGGAGAGUUCUACAUCCCCAUAUGCAUCUAUAAUUAUGGAUUCAUAUCUGCAUUUCUGGCACUGAGCAUGUGCACAGCGAAAAGAAUGCAGCAGUUUCCAAUUACACCAAGAAAGCAGUUGCUGUACCUGCUGCACCGAGGGCGGUGCAAGUGGUGCAACAUAGGCUGUUGCUCUGUGCCCCUCCUCGUCGUCUGUUUCUUUUACCUUGGUGUUAAUGUGUUCAUGUACUCGGAUAUAAAACCCAACUUCAAUAAGAGCGUAACCACAGGCAUUAUCUACUGCAACAAGACUUUCUACCUGUUUGCAUUUUGGAGCACCAACCUGACCUACGGCCUGUUGGGGCUGCUGUUCAUCACUUUUUGGUGUUGUAAACGACAACAGCCUGAAGACGGAGAUGAGGCUCAAAUACUCGUCCAGCAUUACCACACUAGGAUCCUAUGGUUCACUGUAUAUGAAGUCUAAUGUAUGUACUUUUAAAAAUUCUAACAGGUUAUCAUAUUGCAACAAAACUAUUACUAUAUGCUUCUUAAUUGGUUUUGCCUUGUAGAAAAAUGUUUGUUUCUACAUUAUUACCAGUUUCUGUGCUGUUUUUAAAUACAUCCAUGUAAUGUUACUUAUGUAUAACCACUGUUGAUACCAGGUAAUUACUACUGUAUUGUAUUUGACCAAAUUCCUGUGUAUUUUGUUUGAACCUAAAUAUAUUUACCUACAAAAACAUUAGAAACAGCAGAUCAGGGGAAGAAUAAUUCAAGGCUUUGGAGGAAAAAGUAAUUAUACUAGAAAUUAAAUUAAAUAAAAGAAAUUUAAGUAGUUGAUCAUUUCCAGGUAUUUUAGAGGUGGGAAGAAUCCUUUUUAUUUUUACAUUUUUAUUAUGAAAUAUAUUGUUGUGCGUCCUGCCUCUCACCCUAUGACAGCUGGGAUAGGCUCCAGUCCUCCUGUGACCCUGAAUGUGCAUCAUAAGAAUUUAACUAUUUAAUUGUGCUCUUACACUAUAUAUACAAUUUAUAUUAGACUACAUCAUGUAAAAUGUAAUAGGGACUGUCCUACCAUUUGUAAUAACAACAACAAACAUUGCAUAGCAAAGGCCCAUGUGAUCUUAUAAUGAUGGAGUCAGGUCUAAUUUGAUUUUCUUCUUUCAUAAACACUGUUCCAC
ensembl:lncRNA